rnacentral:rRNA from 1 species
GACAGGGGGCGCAAACGUUGUUCGGAAUUACUGGGCAUAAAGAGCACGUAGGCGGUCUACUAAGUUACUUGUGAAAGCCCCCGGCUCAACCGGGGAACAGCAUGUGAGACUGGUAGACUCGAGAGUAGCAGGGGUGAAUGGAACUCCAGGUGGAGCGGUGAAAUGCGUAGAUAUCUGGAGGAACACCGGUGGCGAAAGCGGUUCACUGGGCUACUUCUGACGCUGAGGUGCGAAAGCUAGGGGAGCAAACGGG